rnacentral:rRNA from 1 species
UACAGAGGUCUCAAGCGUUGUUCGGAUUCAUUGGGCGUAAAGGGUGCGUAGGCGACGCGGUAAGUCGGGUGUGAAAUCUUGGAGCUUAACUCCGAAACUGCAUUCGAUACUGCCGUGCUUGAGGACUGGAGAGGAGACUGGAAUUUACGGUGUAGCGGUGAAAUGCGUAGAUAUCGUAAGGAAGACCAGUGGCGAAGGCGGGUCUCUGGACAGUUCCUGACGCUGAGGCACGAAGGCCAGGGGAGCAAACGGG